rnacentral:rRNA from 1 species
AGGGGAUCGUAAGACCUUGCGCUUUUGGAGCGGCCGAUGUCUGAUUAGCUAGUUGGUGGGGUAAGGGCCUACCAAGGCUACGAUCAGUAGCUGGUCUGAGAGGACGGCCAGCCACACUGGGACUGAGACACGGCCCAGACUCCUACGGGAGGCAGCAGUGGGGAAUUUUGGACAAUGGGCGCAAGCCUGAUCCAGCCAUGCCGCGUGAGUGAAGAAGGCCUUCGGGUUGUAAAGCUCUUUCAGCCGGGAAGAAAAGGCUGCGAUUAAUAAUCGCAGUUCAUGACGGUACCGGAAGAAGAAGCACCGGCUAACUACGUGCCAGCAGCCGCGGUAAUACGUAGGGUGCGAGCGUUAAUCGGAAUUACUGGGCGUAAAGGGUGCGCAGGCGGUUUUGUAAGUCAGAUGUGA